AUUGAACGCUGGCGGCAGGCCUAACACAUGCAAGUCGAGCGGAGCGGCGGACGGGUGAGUAAUUCCUAGGUAUCUGCCUUUUAGUGGUGGAUAACGUCCGGAAACGGGCGCUAAUACCGCAUCCUAUCAGAUGAGCCUAGGUCGGAGUAGCUAGUUGGUGGGGUAAAGGCUUACCAAGGCGACGAUCCGUAACUGGUCUGAGAGGUUGAUCAGUCACACGGGAACUGAGACACGGUCCAGACUCCGACGGGAGGCAGCAGUGGGGAAUAUGGGACAAUGGGCGAAAGCCUGAUACAGCCAUGCCGCGUGUGUGAAGAAGGUCUUCGGAUUGUAAAGCACUUUAAGUUGGGAGGCGUUACCAACAGAAUAAGCACCGGCUAACUUCGUGCCAGCAGCCGCGGUAAUUC
rnacentral:rRNA from 1 species